UGUAAUACUCACUAGACAAAAUAGGUAGAUUGAUCUAUUUAUUUAAUAGCUUCGACAUAUGUUAAUUUAUAAAGGAAAAGUAGUCAAGGGUACCUACUAAGUAAAAUGAUUAAUAGGGAGAAUUAAAGCGUUAAUCAUUAUCAUUUGAAUUUUGGGCGAAUUAUUAUCAAUCACUCAUCUGUGACCACGAAAACUUUAAACUAUCCGUCACUUCAGAAAAGAGUAUAAGUGAUUUAUAUUUGGUCAAAUGUACCUAUUUAAAAAUAAAAUGAACUUUUAUUUGAAAUGAUGAAUAAUGAAA